rnacentral:rRNA from 1 species
AGAGUUUGAUCCUGGCUCAGAUUGAACGCUAGCGGGAUGCUUUACACAUGCAAGUCGGACGGCAGCACGAAGAGCUUGCUCUUUGGUGGCGAGUGGCGAACGGGUGAGUAAUGUAUCGGAACGUGCCCAGUAGCGGGGGAUAACUACGCGAAAGCGUGGCUAAUACCGCAUACGCCCUACGGGGGAAAGGGGGGGAUCGCAAGACCUCUCACUAUUGGAGCGGCCGAUAUCGGAUUAGCUAGUUGGUGGGGUAAAGGCCUACCAAGGCGACGAUCCGUAGCUGGUUUGAGAGGACGACCAGCCACACUGGGACUGAGACACGGCCCAGACUCCUACGGGAGGCAGCAGUGGGGAAUUUUGGACAAUGGGGGCAACCCUGAUCCAGCCAUCCCGCGUGUGCGAUGAAGGCCUUCGGG